AAACCAUGAUUGGAACAUUUUCUCAGUAGCACCUAAAAAUGCUCUCAAGCUUCAUAAAAGGCUUCAUCUGCACCUUGUGAAUAAGAUCUUGCUCCUGACCUU